CCUACGGGCGGCAGCAGUGAGGAAUAUUGGUCAAUGGACGGAAGUCUGAACCAGCCAUGCCGCGUGCAGGAAGACGGCUCUAUGAGUUGUAAACUGCUUUUGUACAAGGGUAAACCUGAAUACGUGUAUUCAGCUGAAAGUACUGUACGAAUAAGGAUCGGCUAACGCCGUGCCAGCAGCCGCGGUAAUACGGAGGAUCCAAGCGUUAUCCGGAUUUAUUGGGGUUAAAGGGUGCGUCGGCGGAUUGAUAAGUUAGAGGUGAAAUGUCCGGGCUUAACUCGGGAACUGCCUCUAAUACUGUUGGUCUAGAGAGUAGAUGCGGUAGGCGGAAUGUAUGGUGUAGCGGUGAAAUGCUUAGAGAUCAUACAGAACACCGAUUGCGAAGGCAGCUUACCAAUCUAUAUCUGACGUUGAGGCACGAAAGCGUGGGGAGCAAACAGGAUUAGAUACCCCUGUAGUC
rnacentral:rRNA from 1 species